ensembl:lncRNA
GAAAUGGCACAGGAAAAUACAAGAAUGUACAAAGAUGAGCCCAAGGUAGGCGUGUCCCUGUCAUCUGCAUCUAAGUCCAGCAUGCUGGUGUUAAGGACAAGCCUGCUUCUUCAGGCUCAGAGGUUCAUGUGGAAAGGGAGGAGCCAGAAAGUCCUGCUUCCAGACAAUGAAAACGCACAAAUAAAACACUGAUGCUUUCAGUGGAUUCUUAAACGCAAGACCGUGAGCCUUAUGAAGUUUUGUUUAAAAAACAGCUAAAGGUAUGAGCAUAUUCCUUACUCUCUGGAUCAGAGAAUCCCACAAUGGAUUCAGACUUUAGGUCCCUGGGCAAAAUCCUAAUUCCUGUGGGGAAAACAACAAAAAGAAGAACAGGAUUACCAAACAGGUUGAGAUUUCCAGCAAUAGAAAUUCCCCUUUGGUUGUUUGUACUCACAUUUCUACCAUUUUUCCAUUCAAUUUGCUCAAAUACAGAAUUCACAAGAUAUGGAAGUAUUUUAAAAAAAAAAAAAAAAACCAAACAACUGGAAACCACCAAACACAAAACCCCCACACCACUAGAAAUUGCAGGUAAGUUCUCUCAGCACUCAACCUUUGUGGUGAACACUAAAAAUGAGCAAUCUUCCUUUUUCCUAAGGCUGAUUCUGAAGUGUUAUCACAUUAUGUCUGAAGGCAGUGGGGUGCAACCAUGUGUUUUCAAGAAAGUACUUUCAUGAGUCCACUUCAUCUUGAGGCUUGUAUCUUUCCAAGUGGCAUCCUGCAUAAAUUUGCCUUUUUUUUCUUCCCAAAAAGAAAUUUCCUACAGAUGAAUCACAGCAUUCUAAAUGGAAUCUGCCACCUGCCUAAGCUCUGAGAAGUCUAGCUGUUUCCAUUUAACAGUCAUCUCACAGAUGGGAGGUGUAUCUCCACGGAUGGCACUGAACUGAAAGGGAAUCUGAAGGGCUUGGUUUUUUGGGGGGAGUUUGAUGUAUGUGCUUACAGUAUUUGUCUUUUGGUGCCUGAACAACUGAUUUAGGUGUAAAACUUGAAAAUUCUCUGUCUCCUGCACUCAGAGAUGUCUCAAUUUCUGCUGAUAGAUAGAACUAAGAGCUCUUAGCAGACAGAAAGGUACAAGGGGCUGAAGCCGCAAUUACCAAAAUGAGAUGUCCUAAGACAAAUUUCUCAAAAGACAUUCCCCUCUAACAUUAGGGGGGGGAAGCAAUUUUGUUCAUCAUCUCUGAAAAUAUUGACAGAGCAGGCCUACAAAUUUUUUUAAGUUGUUAUGGGUGAUGCUGGCUUUUUUCUUCUUAUACAGAAGCAAUGUUCAAACUCCUAGUUCAGAUUCAUAAGCAUAGUUCUAUUAAGACUCCUCUGCCAGUUUAAUGUCCAGCAAUAUCCUUCAGAUGCCUAACCAUCAUUAAUUAAUUGAUGAAGGAACCUGAGCCUACCUCCAGACACAAAGAUUUAUUACCUUGGGUACAGAACUUCUUCAAGUGUCAUAACAGAAAGGCUGUAAGAUGCUGGUAGAGUAAAACAGAACACCAUUCCUCCCUCUGACACAAAUCAGCUUCAGAUUUCUUCACAAAUCAUCAAGAGGUUAGCUGUCAUUCUUCAGGCAAACAGCUUCCAAUAGCAACAGUGCUGACCUAGGAAGGAGGAAGGUGGAUUUGGAAGAGUUUUACUCUCCAAGAACAGUAUUUUUCUUACCCUGCUUUCUCCUAUUUGAUUUUCUCCAUGUAAAGGUGGAAGGGCAGAAGAAUAGGUUCUCUUUGAUAGCUGUUUUCUUACCUGUUGCUUUUGCCAGCAGAAUCUGCACACUUUAUAGAUACAGAGUGAUUAUUUGAAAGGCAAAAGAUGAUACAAGUAAAACUUGCACACCUAUUUGAAGGAGAACACAGAAUAAACUGAUAUGAAGCCUGUACA